CAGUUACUCUCUGGGAAAAUGAAGUGUUUGGAGGCUGCAAAGCGGUAUAAGCUGUAAUAACUCCCUGGGAAGAGGGAGGAGUGCUUGGUGCUGGUACACCCAGAGAGGGGAGGGGAAUCAGAGUGUAGGAAGCAGUCCAAGGAAGAAGCAGUGAGGGUAGAGAGGAAAGCUCAGAAUUGCUGCACUGAGGGUCCUUGGAACCCGGAGUAGUGGAUGGGCCUGGGUUCCCUUACUAGCCACCCAGGGCAUGGCAUAGACCAGAGACAGUGAAUGGGACAACUGCCUAGGACUCCUGAAGGAAAGACUUUGAUAUACCCUGGCUAGGUCACUCAGCAUUUCCCACUUCCAGGGGACUAAGUCUGAAGAAGAUGCUGCAGUUCCUGGAGUGAGAGAGGGAGUGCAGACUAGAGUCUCAGAAUGACUGCAUGCAAACCAAAGAAGGGGGGGCAUUGCCCUCAAGAGCUAAUCCACAGAGUACUCAGGAGGAAGUGCCAGACCAGUGCAAACAGACAGGACCUUCUGUCCAAGAGGGGCCCCCAGUCCUUCCUGGAAAGCUUGAAAGGAUUUUGUCCUGUUGAGGCCCCAUAAGGCUGAUAAGUGACCUCUGGUAUACAUCACAUAUACAUAAACACACACAGCCCACAGCCUCCUGCUAACUCUCCUUCAGCUUAGAGGAGGAAAAUCAGCUCUUGCAGCUGACACAAUAUUGCUGCUUGGCCAGCUGGCAGAGUAUAAUUUUACAUGGGAGAAGAGGCUCCCCAGAGAUCAGAAGUCCAUCUCCACACUGUAGCUGUAUGAGUGAGCCAGCUCAAUAAUGUAUGCGUAUU